rnacentral:rRNA from 1 species
GACGAACGCUGGCGGCGUGCUUAACACAUGCAAGUCGAACGGAAAGGCCCUGCUUUUGUGGGGUGCUCGAGUGGCGAACGGGUGAGUAACACGUGAGUAACCUGCCCUUGACUUUGGGAUAACUUCAGGAAACUGGGGCUAAUACCGGAUAGGAGCUCCUGCUGCAUGGUGGGGGGUGGAAAGUUUCGGCGGUUGGGGAUGGACGCGCGGCUUAUCAGCUUGUUGGUGGGGUAGUGGCUUACCAAGGCUUUGAGGGGUAGCCGGCAUGGGAGGGUGACCGGCGACAUUGGGACUGAGAUACGGCCCAGAGUCCUACGGGGGGCAGCAGUGGGGAAUAUUGCACAAUGGGCGGAAGCGUGAUGCAGCAACGCCGCGUGCGGGAUGACGGCCUUCGGGUUGUAAACAGCUUUCGCCUGUGACGAAGCGUGAGUGACGGUAAUGGGUAAAGAAGCACCGGCUAACUACGUG